rnacentral:rRNA from 1 species
AGUAACACGUGGGUAACCUGCCCUUGAAGUAGGGGAUAACACUUGGAGACAGGUGCUAAUACCGUAUAACAACCAAAACCACCUGGUUUUGGUUUAAAAGAUGGCUUCGGCUAUCACUUUAGGAUGGACCCGCGGCGUAUUAGCUUGUUGGUAAGGUAACGGCCUACCAAGGCAAUGAUACGUAGCCGACCUGAGAGGGUAAUCGGCCACAUUGGGACUGAGACACGGCCCAAACUCCUACGGGAGGCAGCAGUAGGGAAUCUUCCACAAUGGACGAAAGUCUGAUGGAGCAACGCCGCGUGAGUGAUGAAGGGUUUCGGCUCGUAAAACUCUGUUGUUGGAGAAGAACAGGUGUGAGAGUAACUAUUCACAUCUUGACGGUAUCCAACCAGAAAGCCACGGCUAACUACGUGCCAGCAGCCGCGGUAAUACGUAGGUGGCAAGCGUUGUCCGGAUUUAUUGGGCGUAAAGCGAGCGCAGGCGGUUUCUUAGGUCUGAUGUGAAAGCCUUCGGCUUAACCGGAGAAGUGCAUCGGAAACCAGGAGACUUGAGUGCAGAAGAGGACAGUGGAGCUCCAUGUGUAGCGGUGAAAUGCGUAGAUAUAUGGAAGAACACCAGUGGCGAAGGCGGCUGUCUGGUCUGUAACUGACGCUGAGGCUCGAAAGCAUGGGUAGCGAACAGGAUUAGAUACCCUGGU